ensembl:snRNA U6 U6 spliceosomal RNA
GAGCUCUUCUUUGAUAACACGUAUACUGAAAUUGGAAUUAAUCAGAGAUUAGCCUGGCUCCUGUGCAAAGAUGAAACACAAAUUCAUGAAACUUUCAUUUUUGUG